UACGAAGGGGGCUAGCGUUGUUCGGAUUUACUGGGCGUAAAGCGCACGUAGGCGGGUCGUUAAGUCAGGGGUGAAAUCCCGGAGCUCAACUCCGGAACUGCCUUUGAUACUGGCGACCUUGAGGCUGGAAGAGGUUAGUGGAAUUCCCAGUGUAGAGGUGAAAUUCGUAGAUAUUGGGAAGAACACCAGUGGCGAAGGCGGCUAAACUGGUCCAGAUCUGACGCUGAGGUGCGAAAGCGUGGGGAGCAAACAGG
rnacentral:rRNA from 1 species